rnacentral:rRNA from 1 species
UACGGAGGAUGCGAGCGUUAUCCGGAUUUAUUGGGUUUAAAGGGUGCGUAGGCGGACGCUUAAGUCAGCGGUAAAGUUGCGGGGCUCAACCUCGUCGAGCCGUUGAAACUGGGUGCCUUGAGUGGGCGAGAAGUACGCGGAAUGCGUGGUGUAGCGGUGAAAUGCAUAGAUAUCACGCAGAACUCCGAUUGCGAAGGCAGCGUACCGGCGCCCUACUGACGCUGAAGCACGAAGGCGUGGGUAUCGAACAGG